rnacentral:rRNA from 1 species
UACGUAGGGGGCGAGCGUUGUCCGGAUUUAUUGGGCGUAAAGCGCGUGUAGGCGGCUUUGCAAGUCGGGUGUGAAAGCCCUCAGCUCAACUGAGGAAGUGCGCCCGAAACUGCAGAGCUUGAGUGCCGGAGAGGGUGGCGGAAUUCCCCAAGUAGAGGUGAAAUUCGUAGAUAUGGGGGGGAACACCGGUGGCGAAGGCGGCCACCUGGACGGUAACUGACGCUGAGACGCGAAAGCGUGGGGAGCAAACAGG